rnacentral:rRNA from 1 species
GACGAACGCUGGCGGCGUGCUUAACACAUGCAAGUCGAGCGGAGCGGCGAACGGGUGAGUAACGCGUGAGUAACUGCCCCCCUCUCUGUGAUAACAGUUGGAAACGGCUGCUAAUACCGGAUAGUGGGGGAUGACUCGCGGCCUAUCAGCUUGUUGGUGGGGUAGUGGCCUACCGAGGCGACGACGGGUAGCCGGCCUGAGAGGGCGACCGGCCACAAUGGGCGGCGAUAGGGACCAAACGGCAACGGGGGGCAGCAGUGGGGAAGAUUGCACAAUGGGGGAAACCCUGAUGAAGCAACGCCGGGUGCGGGAUGACGUCCUUCGGGUUGUAAACCGGUUUCAGCCAUGACGCGGUAGUGGCAGAAGAAGCACCGGCUAACUACGUGUCAGCAGCCGCGGUAAUUC